rnacentral:lncRNA from 1 species
CCAGUUACUUUGAGGUAAUUUCAAACCUGUAUAUACAUAGCCCCAUAUUAUUUGAACUCACAUAUAUUUUUCUUGAAUGUUAGUCUAAUGAGGGCGUAGGAGCUGACCAUUGUGUGCCGGUACCGUAAGCUUUACUUGAUACAAUAGAAAGAUACACAAAUUCAUUGUGAAAGUCUCAGAUCAUAAUUUGAUAUGCAAGUCUCAAACCAUAACUAUCACAAAGAUACUCCCACCAGAAGCUCCACAUCCUAUAGCACACUUGGAAGAAGAUGCUAUUCCAGCAAUGUCCGAUGUUAUUUUGAAGACUAGAAGUGAGGAAUCCGGUCCUUCCAAAGGCUUUGAAGAUUAUGAAGGUGAUAGGGUUAGAAAAGCUUCUGAGAGUCUUGAAUCAGAUGAAGCCAAGCGUUCCAAGAGUGGCUAAUAUAGCUUCAACCUAUCCUCUUACGCAGUGAUUGUUUUUGCUGCAGUUUAAUUACUGUUUUUAUGUUUACCUAAUGACUUUGCCUUCUUUUCAUUUCAAUCUUCAGACUUUUGUCCAUUGGAGACACUUUAUGUUUCUUUGAAUACAAUUUUCAUUAUAUUUAACCUCAUAAUCUCUGGUGUAAGAAUAACAAUUGGUGUAAGGAUCAAAUGUCGGAUUGCCUUCAAAUCCUCUACGUAGGCUUAGAGUAAAGUCUUAAACUUUCUGACACUGCUCUAUUUGUCUCAAGUCUGUGCUCUUCUUUCUGGAGGAGGAUAUGCAAAGAAAGUUGUUGUGACCAUUGGACAAAUCCUUCCAAUUCCGCAGGUUUAAGAUACAUCUAUUUUCUCUAAACUGGAGCUUGGUUUCCCAUAAUACAAACAAGGCUUAUGAAUUCACGUAAGUUUCCUUCUUCUUCUACUCUCACUCUAUGUCCUGAUAUUGGUUUGCCAAACUUGAAGAUGCUCCAAUUUAUUAGGAACUUGGUCUUCUACGAUGAUGACCUCAUUUGUCACCUUCUCCAUCUCUGUUUCCUAUCAUCAUUCCUAUAUAUAUAUUUGUAUUGUAGUUCUUCCAAUUCCAACUCGUAUGCUUUAGUUUCAUUCUAGCUCAGUUUAGUCGUGCGUAAAUGACCCUUUCGAUAAUAAGCUUUUUCUUACUUGAAUUGAAGCGUAUUUAAUCUUUCUUUUUUUUUCAUGUCAUGUUGUUUUUUUUGAAGAGUGAAAGAUGAAGCAGCUUUCAAUAAAUUUG